rnacentral:rRNA from 1 species
UACGUAGGGUGCGAGCGUUGUCCGGAAUUACUGGGCGUAAAGAGCUCGUAGGUGGUUUGUCGCGUUGUUCGUGAAAACUCACAACUCAAUUGUGGGCGUGCGGGCGAUACGGGCAGACUGGAGUACUGCAGGGGAGACUGGAAUUCCUGGUGUAGCGGUGGAAAUGCGCAGAUAUCAGGAGGAACACCGGUGGCGAAGGCGGGUCUCUGGGCAGUAACUGACGCUGAGGAGCGAAAGCGUGGGGAGCGAACAGG